rnacentral:rRNA from 1 species
UACGUAGGGUGCGAGCGUUGUCCGGAAUUAUUGGGCGUAAAGGGCUCGUAGGCGGUUUGUCACGUCGGGAGUGAAAACUCGGGGCUUAACCCCGAGCCUGCUUCCGAUACGGGCUGACUAGAGGUAUGCAGGGGAGAACGGAAUUCCUGGUGUAGCGGUGAAAUGCGCAGAUAUCAGGAGGAACACCGGUGGCGAAGGCGGUUCUCUGGGCAUUACCUGACGCUGAGGAGCGAAAGUGUGGGGAGCGAACAG